UACAGAGGGUGCAAGCGUUAAUCGGAGUUACUGGGCGUAAAGGGCGCGUAGGCGGUCAGAUAAGUGAGUUGUGAAAGCCCUGGGCUCAACCUAGGAACUGCAACUUAUACUGUAAGACUAGAGUAUUGUAGAGGGUAGUGGAAUUUCCGGUGUAGCGGUGAAAUGCGUAGAGAUCGGAAGGAACACCAGUGGCGAAGGCGGCUACCUGGACAAAUACUGACGCUGAGGCGCGAAAGCGUGGGGAUCAAACAGGAUUAGAUACCCUGGUAGUCCACGCUGUAAACGAUGAGAACUAGAUGUUGGUAGGCUUGACCUAUUAGUAUCGAAGCUAACGCGAUAAGUUCUCCGCCUGGGGAGUACGACCGCAAGGUUAAA
rnacentral:rRNA from 1 species